AUCCAGUUGACGAGUCCUAAAUGGGACAGAACGACCGUCCUGGAU
rnacentral:hammerhead_ribozyme from 1 species